rnacentral:rRNA from 1 species
UACGUAGGGUGCAAGCGUUAAUCGGAAUUACUGGGCGUAAAGCGUGCGCAGGCGGUUUUGUAAGCCAGAUGUGAAAAGCCCCCGGGCGUCAACCUACGGGAACGUAGCGUUUGGUAACGUAACAAGACUAGAGUGUGUCAGAGGGGGGUGGGGAAUUACCGUCCGUGUAGCAGUGAAAUAGCGUAGAGAUGCGGAGGAAC